AGGAAGGGAGGAGCACUCCGUAAGAAGACCUUAAAAAGAAAUGGUCAAAAAUAAAGGAGGAGGGGGAGGAGCGCCAGUACAGAGGAAAAAAAAGUGUAAGCUUUGAGAUAUGAAAUGCAGGAAGGAGGAGGAAAGGUUAGUGCUUCAUUUUUAUUACUUAAUGGGUCGGCUUUUUUAAAAGCAAAAGAUUCUCACUGACAAAGGUAUAGUUAUAAAUAUAGAAAAAAAUAAGGAAGGUGUGAGUUGAACUAAGUGUGGUACAGGGUGAAGCACUCAAGAGUCACCUCUUAAUAUAUGAAUAUGUGAAGUGUGCUUAAAUUUUUUCUUUCAUGAGAUUAGUUUUGGGUUUUUCGGUUGCAUAACCUUUAAAUUUGUUUGUUGGUGAUUGUUAAAAUUAUAUAAUUCAUAGGUAGACUUGUAUAUUUUAUGUUUAAACCCUUGGAUCGUCCUCAUAUUUGUUGGGGAAUCUCAAGUGGGUCCUUG
rnacentral:lncRNA from 1 species